CAGAGAGUAGUUUAAUUGAAAAAUGCCAGCUUUGGGAGUUGGUGAUGGAGGUUUGAUUCCUUUCUUUCUGA
rnacentral:tRNA from 1 species